AUUGAACGCUGGCGGCAGGCCUAACACAUGCAAGUCGAGCGGGGUUUUCGGACCUAGCGGCGGACGGGUGAGUAAUGCGUAGGAAGCUACCCGAUAGAGGGGGAUACCAGUUGGAAACGACUGUUAAUACCGCAUAAUGUCUACGGACCAAAGUGUGGGACCUUCGGGCCACAUGCUAUCGGAUGCGCCUACGUGGGAUUAGCUAGUUGGUGAGGUAAUGGCUCACCAAGGCAACGAUCUCUAGCUGGUUUGAGAGGAUGAUCAGCCACACUGGAACUGAGACACGGUCCAGACUCCUACGGGAGGCAGCAGUGGGGAAUAUUGGACAAUGGGCGAAAGCCUGAUCCAGCCAUGCCGCGUGUGUGAAGAAGGCCUUCGGGUUGUAAAGCACUUUCAGUAGGGAGGAAGCGUUGUGUGUUAAUAGUACACAGCGUUGACGUUACCUACAGAAGAAGCACCGGCUAACUCUGUGCCAGCCGCCGCGGUAACAC
rnacentral:rRNA from 1 species